AAUUUACCUUUAGGAGGGGGAUAACAACUGGAAACGGUUGCUAAUACCCCAUAUGCUUUCGAGUGAAAUGGAUUUUUCCGCCUAAAGAGGAGCUUGCGGCUGAUUAGCUUGUUGGUGAGGUAAUGGCUCACCAAGGCGACGAUCAGUAUCUGGUUUGAGAGGACGAUCAGACACACUGGAACUGAGACACGGUCCAGACUCCUACGGGAGGCAGCAGUGGGGAAUUUUCCGCAAUGGGCGAAAGCCUGACGGAGCAAUACCGCGUGAGGGAUGACGGCCUAUGGGUUGUAAACCUCUUUUUUCAGGGAGGAAUCAAUGACGUGUACCUGAAGAAUAAGCAUCGGCUAACUCCGUGCCAGCAGCCGCGGUAAGACGGAGGAUGCAAGUGUUAUCCGGAAUCACUGGGCGUAAAGCGUCUGUAGGUGGUCUAGUAAGUCAACUGUUAAAUCUUGAGGCUCAACUUCAAAAUCGCAGUCGAAACUAUUAGACUAGAGUAUAGUAGGGGUAAAGGGAAUUUCCAGUGGAGCGGUGAAAUGCGUAGAGAUUGGAAAGAACACCGAUGGCGAAGGCACUUUACUGGGCUAUUACUGACACUGAGAGACGAAAGCUAGGGUAGCAAAUGGGAUUAGAUACCCCAGUAGUCCUAGCCG
rnacentral:rRNA from 1 species